UACAGAGGUCUCAAGCGUUGUUCGGAUUCAUUGGGCGUAAAGGGUGCGUAGGUGGCGGGGUAAGUCAGGUGUGAAAUCUCGGGGCUCAACCCCGAAACUGCACUUGAUACUGCCUUGCUUGAGUACUGGAGAGGAGAUUGGAAUUUACGGUGUAGCAGUGAAAUGCGUAGAUAUCGUAAGGAAGACCAGUGGCGAAGGCGAAUCUCUGGACAGUUACUGACACUGAGGCACGAAGGCCAGGGGAGCAAGCGGG
rnacentral:rRNA from 1 species